rnacentral:rRNA from 1 species
UACGUAGGCAGCGAGCGUUGUUCGGAAUUACUGGGCGUAAAGAGUGUGUAGGCGGCGCUCUAAGUUCGGUGUGAAAUCUCGAGGCUCAACUUCGAGCUGUCGGUGGAAACUGUCUGGCUAGAGUCCGGAAGAGGAGAAUGGAAUUCCUGGUGUAGCGGUGAAAUGCGCAGAUAUCAGGAAGAACACCCGUGGCGAAGGCGGUUCUCUGGGACGGUACUGACGCUGAGACGCGAAAGCGUGGGGAGCAAACAGG